AGAGUUUGAUCAUGGCUCAGGACGAACGCUGGCGGCGUGCCUAAUACAUGCAAGUAGAACGCUGAAGAAAGGAGCUUGCUUCUUUUGGAUGAGUUGCGAACGGGUGAGUAACGCGUAGGUAACCUGCCUUGUAGCGGGGGAUAACUAUUGGAAACGAUAGCUAAUACCGCAUAACAGCUUUUGGCACAUGUUAGAAGCUUGAAAGAUGCAAUUGCAUCACUACGAGAUGGACCUGCGUUGUAUUAGCUAGUAGGUAGGGUAACGGCCUACCUAGGCGACGAUACAUAGCCGACCUGAGAGGGUGAUCGGCCACACUGGGACUGAGACACGGCCCAGGCUCCUACGGGAGGCAGCAGUAGGGAAUCCUCGGCAAUGGGGGCAACCCUGACCGAGCAACGCCGCGUGAGUGAAGAAGGUUUUCGGAUCGUAAAGCUCUGUUGUAAGAGAAGAACGUGUGUGAGAGUGGAAAGUUCACACAGUGACGGUAACUUACCAGAAAGGGACGGCUAACUACGUGCCAGCAGCCGCGGUAAUACGUAGGUCCCGAGCGUUGUCCGGAUUUAUUGGGCGUAAAGCGAGCGCAGGCGGUUUAAUAAGUCUGAAGUUAAAGGCAGUGGCUUAACCAUUGUUCGCUUUGGAAACUGUUAAACUUGAGUGCAGAAGGGGAGAGUGGAAUUCCAUGUGUAGCGGUGAAAUGCGUAGAUAUAUGGAGGAACACCGGUGGCGAAAGCGGCUCUCUGGUCUGUAACUGACGCUGAGGCUCGAAAGCGUGGGGAGCAAACAGGAUUAGAUACCCUGGUAGUCCACGCCGUAAACGAUGAGUGCCAGGUGUUAGGCCCUUUCCGGGGCUUAGUGCCGCAGCUAACGCAUUAAGCACUCCGCCUGGGGAGUACGACCGCAAGGUUGAAACUCAAAGGAAUUGACGG
rnacentral:rRNA from 1 species